rnacentral:lncRNA from 1 species
GAUUGAGGGUGUUGGAGUAGAGGGCUCUUGUGGUGGAGUUCCACAAUUGCUACCAUCAGGUGGCGAUGGGGUUGGAUUGUAACUUCCACCACCCUCAGGUGGUGAUGGAGUUGGAUCAUAGCUUCCACCACCUGGGGGAGUUGAUGGGGUUGGAUUGUAACUUCCACCACCCUCAGGUGGUGAUGGAGUUGGAUCAUAGGUAGGUGGUGAUGGAGUUGGAUCAUAGCUUCCACCACCUGGGGGAGUUGAUGGGGUUGGGUCAUAGCUUCCACCACCAGGGGGAGUUGAUGGAGUUGGAUUGUAACUUCCACCACUAGGGGGAGUUGAUGGGGUUGGAUUGUAACUUCCACCACCAUCUGAGGGUG